UACGUAGGCAGCAAGCGUUGUUCGGAAUUACUGGGCGUAAAGAGUGUGUAGGCGGUGCUCUAAGUCUGUUGUGAAAUCUCCCGGCUUAACUGGGAGGGUGCGGCGGAGACUGGAGUGCUAGAGUGUGGGAGAGGUAAGCGGAAUUCCUGGUGUAGCGGUGAAAUGCGUAGAUAUCAGGGAGGAACACCUGUGGUGUAGACAGCUUACUGGACCACGACUGACGCUGAGACACGAAAGCGUGGGUAGCAAACAGG
rnacentral:rRNA from 1 species